rnacentral:misc_RNA from 1 species
UCUCCAGCUCGCAUGACGCAAUGAGACGACCGUCUGCAAAGUCGUCGACCCACGAGAGAGUCGCCGAACCAGAAUCCCCAUCGCCAUUAUCUUCAGCUAAAUCCUCUGGUAGAAUACAAGAAAAGGUGUUGGGUCUAAGCUCUGAUCGAAUACUAGGGAAAUGGCAUGUGGCGCCGCGAUGGUCGGAUUCAUGAACCACAACAAAGCAAACUAUCAGUAUACGUGACUCACAACAUUUGUGUAUAUCACAGUACAAACUCCCAGCACAAAUUGAGUAAUUGUUCACUUGAUCAUUUUGGUCCCAAAGCGAUAUAUGAUGACAUAUACAGCACAAAUGUUGUAGGAUGAAUGCUAUAACCCUAGUAUUUAUCUGGAACCUUUGAUUAAAUAAUUGCUUUGUGUGUAUAUUAGUAUGUG